rnacentral:rRNA from 1 species
UUCCGGUUGAUCCCGCCGGAGGUCACUGCUAUCGGGGUUCGAUUAAGCCAUGCGAGUCGAGAGGGUUCAGACCCUCGGCGGACUGCUCAGUAACACGUGGAUAAUCUGCCCUAUGGUGGAGGGUAACCCCGGGAAACUGGGGAUAAUACUCCAUAAGUCAGGAGUACUGGAAUGUCUCCUAACUGAAAGUUGCGGCGCCAUAGGAUGAAUCUGCGGCCGAUUAGGUAGUUGUUGGGGUAACGGCCCAACAAGCCUGUAAUCGGUACGGGUUGUGGGAGCAAGAGCCCGGAGAUGGAAUCUGAGACACGAUUCCAGGCCCUACGGGGCGCAGCAGGCGCGAAAACUUUACAAUGCAGGAAACUGUGAUAAGGGAACCCCGAGUGCCCGUAAACGCGGGCUGUCCCGGUGUUUAAAACACAUCGGAAGAAAGGGCCGGGCAAGACCGGUGCCAGCCGCCGCGGUAAUACCGGCGGCUCGAGUGGUGACCACUUUUAUUGGGCUUAAAGCGUUCGUAGCUUGAUUUUUAAGUCUCUUGGGAAAUCUCACGGCUUAACUGUGAGGCGUCUAAGAGAUACUGGGAAUCUAGGGACCGGGAGAGGUAAGAGGUACUUCAGGGGUAGAAGUGAAAUUCUGUAAUCCUUGAGGGACCACCGAUGGCGAAGGCAUCUUACCAGAACGGCUUCGACAGUGAGGAACGAAAGCUGGGGGAGCGAACGGGAUUAGAUACCCCGGUAGUCCCAGCCGUAAACUAUGCGCGUUAGGUGUGCCUGUAACUACGAGUUACCGGGGUGCCGAAGUGAAAACGUGAAACGUGCCGCCUGGGAAGUACGGUCGCAAGGCUGAAACUUAAAGGAAUUGGCGGGGGAGCACCACAACGGGUGGAGCCUGCGGUUUAAUUGGAGUCAACGCCGGG